GCGUGACGAUGUCGGUUUCAAUUGCAAAAAAAUGUGUUGCUUUUUGAUGUUCUCUCGUGCUUGCUCAGGAUGAUAGGAAGACCUUGCCCAUCUAUCCUUAUCGGGAAGAACUACUCCAGGCUGUUAAUGAUCGUCAGGUCCUUGUAAUUGUUGGAGAGACUGGCUCUGGAAAGACUACUCAAAUACCUCAAUACCUUCAUGAAGCUGGGUAUACAAAACGUGGGAAGGUUGGAUGCACACAACCGCGACGUGUUGCAGCCAUGAGUGUUGCUGCACGAGUGUCACAGGAGAUGGGUGUGAAACUAGGUCAUGAGGUUAGGUUGGCUAUUCUGAAAUAUAUGACAGAUGGGAUGUUGUUGCGUGAAUUCCUUGGUGAGCCUGACUUGGCCAGUUACAGGUGGAUUUCAAAUUUAGGAGACACUUGGUUAUCACAAUUGUAUUUUCCAUUUUUAUGUAUCUAACUUUUUGUUUAACAUCCUUAGUGUCGUAAUGGUGGAUGAGGCACAUGAGAGAACACUCUCAACAGACAUUUUAUUUGGUUUAGUGAAGGUAAGCUGAAUUUUUAUCAA